UUUAGAUGUGAUAGAACCCUCACAGUUUGUCAAGAUUCAAGAAAUGCUCUUCAGGCAGCUAGCAAAGUGUGUUGCAAGUCCACACUUCCAGGUUGCAGAACGUGCCCUGUACUUCUGGAAUAACGAGUACGUAGUGAGCUUGAUAGAGGAGAACAUCCAGGCUAUCAUGCCCAUUAUGUUCACCAAUCUCUACAGGAUAUCCAAGACCACUGGAAUCAAACUAUUGUUGCCUUGGUCUACAAUGUACUCAGGACACUGAUGGAGAUGAAUAGCAAGCUAUUUGAUGAACUCACUACCAGCUAUAAGGCAGAUAGACAAAAAGAGAAGAAGAAGGAGAAGGAAAGAGAUGAACUGUGGAAACGCUUGAGUAAACUGGAAAUGAACCAUCUAAAUAACCAAACCAACAGCAGUUAGACAUUAUUGACUUGUAGAAUGUAGACAUGGCAGUGGAGAUUUGUUGUGAGGACUUGCCACUGAAAUGCCAUCAGAGAGUCGGUCUUCUCUUCUCUGUGUUUCCCUCUGGGAAUGGAAGACCUGACUGAUGGAGGGAGCUUUGAUUCCCCCGUUGCUGCAUCGGGCGGGCGAAACCACAAAGUUUGGGCCAAAACCGAUAGUUUGCUGCUGUUUCAGUGGAAGUGCAUGAAUGUUGUUCGUUAUCUUUAUAUUUAUUUCUUAUCCAAUCGAGUGUCAAUGAACUCACAGUGAGCUAGCCUGGGAGGCUGGCUCCGUAGUAAAGAAGGACAAGUGGAGGAAAGCAGAGAUGAAAGCAGAGAUGAAAGCAAGUCAUACCAAUGUGAGACGCAUCCUGUUGGGAGGAUACCGGUAAAGAGGUUGGAAAUAUCACAGUCUACAUAAAAAAGAAGCUGCUCACUUUCUCUCUCUCCUAUACAUCUGUUUCCUCAGUUGAUUAGCAUGAAUAUCUCUGUCACCUUGCCUCUUUAUCACUAGAUUACCCUAUAGUUUCAUGUCUCUUUUAUGUGUGUUUGUCGUAGCUGAUGUCUACUAUAAUGAGCGGCAAUAGCUCGGUGGGUUUUUUAUUUUAAGGAAGAAAACAAUGUGUUCUCUUAAAAGACUGAUGUGGAACAUGUAUUUUAAAUGGAUAAUGUACUUAACAAAAUGAAAAGUUUCCUGUUUUACCUGUUACAUAUUUACUCCUAUUGGAGACUUCUUUUAUAUUCCUUCAUCUAAAAGCUCUUCUAGAAGUUACACUCUGCAUGCUUCUCCCUCCCUGUGGCUUAUGGGUAUGAUUUGAAUACAAGAGUACAGUACACUUAUCAACAGCUCAGCAGUGAAAAGAGAAUAUUACGAGGAGAAGCCAAAAAUGUCUGUACCUCAAACUAAAUUGGCACUAAACCCAUGCUCAAAGAUUCAUCUAAUUCAUAUUUUAAUGGCUAGCGAAUAUAGUUUGUAUUAUUCCUAAGCUUUAUUAAUGGGUUUAAUUACUUUGUGAUUGACUUUGUGAUUAAUCAGCCAUAGACGAUCUAGAGUUUACAUUGUGUUUGUUUGUACAGAUAGACUAAAUUAUUCUCCAGAUUUAUAAAAUUCUCUCUUUUCUUCACAUCAUGUCAGUGGUUGUGUUUAUUGUGGCUAGGAUUUUGAAGCAAUUGUUCCAGGAAUGAUAUGCUUGAUAUUUUUUCUGAAAUAAAUCUUCUGUUUCCGAUUCACAAUGUCUAUCAUUGACAUACUACUUGUAUAAUUUCUGUGCUGGAAUAUUAGCAGAUAUGUUACAAGAAAGUAGAAACAAUAUUGGGUUAUUGAAGCAUCCAAAGAUGAUUCUGCUGUACAUGAAAUGAAUGAGGAAUAACUUUUAGAUAUAUGACCUAUGUUUAUGUUCAUACAUUUGUCUCAAAUCUAAUUGGAAUAUAAGUUUUUAUUUAUUUAACUCAAUUUUAAAUUGUAAAUGGUAUUAAGAUAAUCCUUGAAUAUCUACAUGGAUUAAUAUAUAGUAAGACGAUUUAAGCUUUUGCUGGUAAAUCUCUUCACAAUGAAUACUCCAGGGAGAUAAGAUUCUUAUGGGAACAUGGUCUUUCUUUGCAGAUGAUCCCUAAUGCAGUUCUGACUGUGUUCUGUUUAAACCCAUUAGCACCUGGAAAGACACAUCAGUGCCAUUUACUCUCACAUUGAAACAGUACAUUGCAUACUAUAUUUUAUAGUUUUGAGAUAUGAAGAAGUUUUCGAGGCAGCACACCAUCUUCAAUAUAAAAUCAAUCUAACAAGUAUAUCUUGUGCUGCAGCAUAUUCACACUUUGGUUGCUUUCUUCACCCCUCUGUGGAACACAAUGGCUGUGCAAAAUUACCCAUUGUGAUCUUGAUUAGCUCCAUGACAACCCUUUUAACAUGGGUACGGAUUAAUCUAACAGUAAAAUGAUAUUGAAGCCGUUGGUAUACCUGGGUCCUGUCUUAUAAAGAGUAACGAUUGAUCAAAAUCAACCGUAAGUCCUCCAAUCAGUGGCAAGUUUGCAGUCUCCUAUCUCUUACGUACAUAGUUGCGAUUGAUAUCAACUCUUUAUAAGACGGGCCCUGCUAUCUUACCCCAUAUAUCUAUCCCAGUGGAGGCAAAGGGAGAUUAUUUGUGUGGCAAUGGAUGGUUUUGGGCAGGUGAGGACCUGUUAGAGAGGAUUGGUUCUAGAAAGUGUAGGUGCUCAAAGGUUGUUUGUAUCAAAGAGCUACCAAUCUAUUAUUGUCGGGGGGAAGUAGCAUGCCAAAGUAGAUGUAUGAUUUCACGUCAAAAUAUGUACUCAUUUCUCCAAUGCCAGAUACUCACUAUGAACCCUUGCUAUUAACAAUUAGAUCACUGUGAAGGUUUCACUUGGAGGGGAUAACCUUCACUUUUUACAAUCAUUUAAAAUUAACUCUUUUCAAUUUGUCUGUGUUAAAGUGAACAUUUAAUUUUGUUGUGACAAUAAUUUUGGUUGUAUGCAAUGUGAAAGAGCUUUUGCUCUCCCAUAUUCUUAAAGGGGGAGGGGGGGGGGGGGGGGGAAUGACUUUGUAUAUGUUAAAAAAAGAAGCAACAUGUAUGAUUUCAGUAUAUUUAUACAAAAAUCUUUUAAACAUGAUUAGUAACAUUUGUCGUGAUAACAGGUUUUCACCUGAUUGUGAAGAUGUAUCAGUUUUCUAAGUUGUAACGAUUGUAUUCGAGUUAAAAAAGCACUUCAAUUCUAAAAGCACCUUAAUUUGGUCAGAUUAUUUUAGUGUACCGAUAACAGAUGCUAGGGUUUGUAAUCAAAUAUACUGGUGUAGUUGUAGUGGUUUAACGAUGGGGUAUUCUACUGACACUACGUCAGAUUUACGUUUACUGCCAUCUGCUGCUCAGAAUGUACCGAUGUGGUGACAGCCAUGUCCCACAAUGCAUCACCCACAGAUUACAUGCGUGGUGAUGCUUGGGUACAGGAACCGGAAAUCGCUGUAUGUACGCCUUUACCAAAAGAUGGUGUUAUUGAAGAUACAUUACAGCAGUGGCAGCAAUGUUUGUAAAAUACCCUGCCUUUAAUAAAGCCAGUAAAUCCCUGUUUGGAUAUUGUAACAGAAUUCAGAAGUAUACAUUGAUGUAUUACAGUACUCCAAAGUGCUGGAGCGAUUAGAAAUAUUUUUAAGUGCCAUGAACCAAGAUGUGUUUUUAUCAACCAAAAUAUGAAAUUAAAGCGUAAUUGUUAAUACUAUGUUUUUUGUUCAUUUCCUAAUGAAUUUGCACUGUUGUGCAUAGCAUGAUUUUCCACUAACUUACAGGUAUUUGUCAGAUGAGGGUUACCAAGAUAUGUGUUACAAUAGAAGCAGCUUCAGUUACAUGUAUUUAUCUCACCUCCCUCUAUUGCCUGUGCAUUACACUUUCCCUCUUGAAUCUAUAAAUGAGUAGAGAAGGGAAACAAUUCUUUAUGGCAAUCACACACACUUAUGAUGAUUAUAAUGGUGUUGACACCUUGGGCUAAGAAGUGGCCCUUUUGAUUAAAUGAGACCUAACUCCUGACAACAGACCCAACCAAAAUUAAACCCCCCCCCCCCCCCUCAAAUGGCCAAGAAUUGAUCGGUGUGGAUACUCUUUGUGGAGUCGAUCUGGCUGUGGGGAAAAGAAUUGCAAAUGUAUAAGGUGCAAAUGAUUCAGUGACAUGUCGUCUUUGUUUAAAUUUUCAAAUGAAAUGACGAGACAUGUUGCACCUUUCACGAGCUAACCAGUCCUAUAACGGUGAUCUUCCUCAUUGAGAGACAUUAUUAUCUGACUUGGUUGCUGUUGUGUUUUUUUUUUCUUUUCAAAUGCAAAGACUUUUUGGGGCUCCAUAUCUGAUCACUGUAUAAUUGUAUUACUUGAUUGGUUUCCAGUUGGAUUACCACUUCUAUUAGGUUAACCUGUAACUAUUUUAAGGUUUAAAGAGAGAGAGCUGGAUCUAGUUGUAAUUAAGAAUCUGAAUAGAAGCUUUCCCUUUCUCCAUUACUAUAGAUAUUAGACUAUUGCACAGGAUUUUUACCUUCAUAUAGAUUCAUGAAAGUGAUGAAAUCAAGGUAGAAAUGGUACAAAAUGUCACUGCCUCUGCACUGUAAUGCAGCUUAAGAAACCCAAGAUUUGUUACUGUUGAUUGUAAUGAUUUAAGUUCAGGAUUUGAACCAACAGGGAGAAUUAAUAUGUAUUCAUAUAUUACAUUAUGUUAUAUUAGUUGCAUUUGUUAGAUUGACCAGUAAAUGUGUAUGUAUAUAUAAGCUGAAUAUGUACAUAUAUAUAUUCAGUUUGAUGCAACUAAUAACAAACUUUUCUUAUUUGCCAUGCUUGGUUGUAUUUAUGAAUAGCAUGAAAUUGAACAGCAUACUAAACUCAAUGAUCUAAAAUCAUGAAAAUAAUGAGAAGAGUAUGACUCGUGCAUACACUGCUUCUGUAACAUUGUUGAUUUCUGACUCUCAAUCUCUCUCUCUCUCUCUCUUUCUCUCUCUCUGCCUCUCUCUGCCUCUCUCUGCCUCUCUCUCUCUCUUACAAAAACUGCUUGUCUCGCCCCUCCCCUGUGAACUUCAUAACAGUAAAGGUGGAGGCACAUUUCAAUCAUUCUUUACAAUAGUCUGAAGCUAAGAAAAUACAUUUGUGUUCUCUCUCUCUCUCAUGUAUUUGUUUCAUUUAGUUGGUUUAUAGGAAUGUUAAGAGGUAGCCCUUGCUUUUUCAUGUGCAUGCAAACAGCUUUCAAAUUACAUAUUCUGUAUUUACCACUGACAUGUUGAACUUCUGGUCCUGAUUAUGCGAGAUAUUUUGCAGAAGAUUUAUGUAUAAGAAAGUAUUUUAGUAACAUGAAAGGUUUCAAAGAGCAACACAUAUUUUUCUUUUACCUGGCGUCUGGUGAGCUGCCAAAAUAAUUAAGCAGGUGUAACAGCACACAUACGUUCUCCACAUGUAAUGCUUUUCUAGAAAAUAAUUAACAGUUUUUAUAUGAUAUCCAUAUCCUCAUCAUCAUUUUGACAAAUUGAUUCACUAUUUAGAAGACUGGUUUCUUUAAUUUAUGUUUAUGAUUUCUGUUGUGUCAAUUUGCCAUAUGAGUAAGCUGUAGACCUCAUUUAUUUCUAUUGAGCUGAUUUGGAUUGUAUUUAAGAAGUUCACCCAUGCUAAACGCUGUGACUGUUUUUAAAUACUAUCUCUAUGAGAAAAAAAAGCUGAAUAGUUCACUUCUAUCUGUUGUGCAAGGAUUUUUUUAAAGAAAGGCCUCCUGUAGACUUGUAACCAACUUUAGCCACAUGUUUUGUAGCAUGUUCAAAUAGCAUUUUAUGAUAUGAUUUUUUUUUUUUCUGGGGGGGGGGAGGGGGCGUGGGUGCUACUUGUACAUGGCACUUUUGACACGAUGGUAACUUUUUUUUCUUCUGAUUGCGUUUAAUUUUCUUAAAAUAGAAUUAUGAAGCCACUUACUCUCUGUUUCUCUUUAGUACAAAUAACAAUAGCUGUGAUGUAGUAUCAUGUAAUGGUCACAAUGUAUUUAAGCAGUGAUCAUCCCUGUUGACCAUUUUGUACGGUAAACUAAAUGAUUCAUCCAAAAGUAGAUGAAUAAACUCCAUUAGUAUCUAGAGGUAUAGCACAUGUAACCUAGUCAAGUACGAGAGGUGCUUAACACAGCUAAAUAAUAAGCUAUAUUGGGCAUGUUGCUUACUCUGGUCCCAGUUAAUUUCUGUUCAUAUUUAUGUGUGUGUGUGACAUGGGAAUAUGUCUUGUAUAAAGAAUAUUACAAAAAAACAAAGUAUUCACUCAAAGAUUUUUGCACUUGUGUACAGGUAUGGUAAAGCUACGACAGUUAAAGUAGAUUGUGAUAGCAAGAAGCAAUUCCUCUUUUGAAACUAUAGUGACUAAAUCUCUAGCAAUUGUAUCAGUAUGAAUAUUUUUGUUUUUCUUGGUUCAAGUUGUACAACUUGUUAUAUCUGUAAAUAUAGUGUACAUUUUGUCUGUAUAUUCUACCGAGAGAAUAUCAUAGAGAUUAAAUAUUGCAAUUUUCCCAAGCUUUGAGACAACUAUUUCUUUAAAAAGGGGGUGUAAGAAAAAAAAAUGUUUGUGCAAGACCUCUGCAUACUUGAAAUGAAUUAAUGUAUUGCGCAGAUGUCUCUUCCUUUAUUUCUUAUGGGAGUAUUGAUAUUAUUUUUUGUUUAUCCAUAUGAUGAUGACAUAUGGGAAUGAGUAAAAACAGAAAAUGUUCAUGUGA